UGUGAAGUGCCUGAAAAAAGGAGUAUUUUGAUAGAAUACCUUAUGUGUGCCCCCCCCACCUUCACAU
rnacentral:tRNA from 1 species